GCCUGGCUAGCUCAAUCGGUAGAGCGUUUGACUCUUAAUCAAAAGGUUGCGGGUUCGAUCCCCGCGUCGGGUU
rnacentral:tRNA from 1 species